UAAGGAGACGGGACUUUUUCCCUCCCCCGCCCUUCUCCACGCACCAGUGGAAGACGAGGGAGGAGACGGCUGAGAGAAGAGGAGGAAGGGGGAAAAGUGAGAGAAGCAAGAUGAGAAAGGGGUGUUGAAGGAAGAGAUGAAGGCGAGGAGAGAGAAGUGUUAGGGGUGGUGGCGAGCCCCCGGCGACCGCCCGCCCGCCCGCGCUCGGGACCCAGCCGGGCGCGGCGCCCAAGUCCCGCAGCGCGCAGCCGGCCCGCGGCCCCGCGAGUAGCCCGGACGCGCGGCUCUCCGGCCGGCAGCUGCCGGCGCCCCGCGCGCUAGCGCCCGCCCGCUCCCGGCCCUGGAGCGCCGCUUUCCCCGCUCCGGACUGCUGCGGGGCAGCGCUCCCGGAUGAGCUAAGAAGAGCCAGUGAGAUUAAAGUAGACUGUGAGCCUUUGGCGGACUUGUCACAAGAACAGGAACUUGAGGAGGCAGAGUGGUGAUGAAAACCGAUCAUUUGAUCUAUCACAAUAUGUUCACUAAAUAUCGAUUGAGUGUCCACUGAUGCAUGGCACUGGAAAACCAUUCCAAAAAGAUAGAAAGAGGAAAAAUUUGUUUUCAUUUUCAAUUUUUAUUAAAAAGGCAGGAAGCCAUCAAAAUCCUCCAGGAGAAAGCAGGCAAAAACCUCUUCAACCUUGGCCGCAACAAAUUCUUAUUCUCCAUGUCUCUAGAGGCAAGGGAAACAAAAGAAAAAAUGAACUAUUGGGACCUUAUCAACAUAAAAAGCUUCUGCACAGUGAAGGAAACCAUCAGCAAAACUAAAAGACAACUGAUGGAAUAGGAGAAGAUAUUUGCAAAUGGCAGAUAAAGGGUUAGUAUCUAAAAUCUAUAAAGAACUUAUCAAACUCAACACCCAAAAAACAAAUAAUCCAGUGAAGAAAUGGGCAAAAGACAUGAAUAGAUACUUCUCCAAAGAAGACAUCCAGAUGGCCAACUGACACAUGACAAAAUGCACAAUAUCAUUCAUCAUCAGGGAAAUACAAAUCAAAACCACAAUGAGAUACCGCCUCACACCUGUCAGAAUGGCUAAAGUUAACAACUUAGGCAACAACAGAUGUUGGCGAGGAUGCAGAAAAAGGAUCUCUUUUGCAUUGUUGGUGGGAAUGCAAGCUGGUGCAGCCACUCUGGAAAAUAGUAUGGAGGUUCCUCAAAAAAUUAAAAACAGAACUACCCUAUGACCCAGCAAUUGCACUACUAGGUAUUUAUCUAAGGGAUACAGGUAUGCUGUUUCAAAGGGACACACACACCCCAAUGUUUAUAGCAGUACUACCAACAAUAGCCAAGUAUGGAAAGAGCCCAAAUGUCCAUCGAUGGAUGACUGGAUAAAGAAGAUGUGGUAUAUAUACACAAUGGAGUAUUAUGGGCAAUCAAAAAGAAUGAAAUCUUGUCAUUUGCAACUACAUGGAUGGAACUAGAGGAUAUUAUGCUAAGCGAAAUUAGUCAGUCAGAGAAAGACAAAUAUCCUAUGACUUCACUCAUAUGAGGACUUUAAGAUACAAAACAGAUGAACAUAAGGGAAAGGAAGCAAAAAUAAUAUAAAAACAGGGAGGGGAACAAAACAUAAGAGACUCUUAAAUAUGGAGAACAUACAGAGGGUUAC